rnacentral:rRNA from 1 species
GGCUCAGAUUGAACGCUGGCGGCAGGCCUAACACAUGCAAGUCGAGCGGAUGAGUGGAGCUUGCUCCAUGAUUCAGCGGCGGACGGGUGAGUAAUGCCUAGGAAUCUGCCUGGUAGUGGGGGACAACGUUUCGAAAGGAACGCUAAUACCGCAUACGUCCUACGGGAGAAAGCAGGGGACCUUCGGGCCUUGCGCUAAUAGAUGAGCCUAAGUCGGAUUAGCCAG